rnacentral:rRNA from 1 species
GGGGAAGGGUAGCUUGCUACCUGACCUAGCGGCGGCCGGGUGAGUAAUGCUUAGGAAUCUGCCUAUUAGUGGGGGACAACAUUCCGAAAGGAAUGCUAAUACCGCAUACGCCCUACGGGGGAAAGCAGGGGAUCUUCGGACCUUGCGCUAAUAGAUGAGCCUAAGUUAGUAUUAGCUAGUUGGUGGGGUAAAGGCCUACCAAGGCGACGAUCUGAAGCGGGUCUGAGAGGAUGAUCCGCCACACUGGGACUGAGACACGGCCCAGACUCCUACGGGAGGCAGCAGUGGGGAAUAUUGGACAAUGGGCGAAAGCCUGAUCCAGCCAUGCCGCGUGUGUGAAGAAGGCCUUUUGGUUGUAAAACACUUUAAGCGAGGAGGAGGCUACUGAGAUUAAUACUCUGGGAUAGCGGACGGUUCUCGCAGAAUAAGCACCGGCUAACUCUGGGCCAGCAGCCGCGGUAAUACAGAGGGGGCGAGCGUAAUCGGAUUAACUGCGCGAA